CACAUUACCUGGUAAAGGAGAGACCAUGAUCAGGCAGGUGGUUUUCCCAGGUGAGGCUUGUCCAUUGCACUUGCGAUUUGUUGACCCCUGGCAUUUCCCCAUAUGUGGCAAACUUUACUGUAUGAUUUGUGUUAGUGGGGGACUGCGUGAGUGCUCUCCUCUA
ensembl:snRNA U1 U1 spliceosomal RNA